UCACCUUACUGAAAUAUAUCUGUA
rnacentral:miRNA from 1 species